rnacentral:rRNA from 1 species
GACGAACGCUGGCGGCAGGCCUAACACAUGCAAGUCGAACGAGUGGCGGACGGGUGAGUAAUGUCUGGGAAACUGCCCGAUGGAGGGGGAUAACUACUGGAAACGGUAGCUAAUACCGCAUACCAUCGGAUGUGCCCAGAUGGGAUUAGCUAGUAGGUGGGGUAACGGUUCACCUAGGCGACGAUCCCUAGCUGGGCUGAGAGGAUGAACGGCCACACUGGAACUGAGACACGGUCCAGACUCCUACGGGAGGCAGCAGUGGGGAAUAUUGCACAAUGGGCGCAAGCCUGAUGCAGCAAGGCCGCGUGUAUGAAGAAGGCCUUCGGGUUGUAAAGUACUUUCAGCGGGGAGGCGGUACUCGCAGAGGAAGCAACGGCUAACUCCGUGCCAGCAGCCGCGGUAAUAC